AUUUCUUCCCCAAAUCUUGCAAAACCUAACCCUCCAACCCGACCACGCCGCCGCGUCCAACCAGACCACGCCGCCGCCACCACCUCCACCAGCCACUCCACCUCAGCGUAGGCUUCCGCCCCGAGCACAGUCGCCGCCGACCGCCUAGUCGUCGCCGAGCACCCUCCUACACCGACAAAUCCCUUGGCCGCUUCCUCCCCAUCCCCUGCUGCACCUAGCGCCUGCUUCCUCCCGAGGAAAGCUGCCGACCGCCCUCCAUCCCCACCACAACAGCCACCUCCUCCGCAGGUUUCCUCCGUCGAGCAGGCCUCCUCCUCCUCAAGCUUUCUCCCCCAAGCAGGGCCUCCUCCUCCACGAGCAUCCGUCCCCGAGCACUAAGUUGGGCCGCCUCAUGUUUCCCUCACCUGAGCAGGGCCCCUCUCCCGAGAAGCUCCACCUCCUGUACAUCCUCCCCCAGGUGCAGCGCCGCCUCCUUGCCCACCGAGAGCACUUGGCCGCAAAUUGUCGCUACAACUGCAUACUAAAUCAGUGAAUCCCAGUAGGAGUACUACAUGCAAGCUCUGGGAAGAUAAGUUUAAAGGCCGUGCUGCAAAUAUAGCUAGAGAACUUCUUUCUGUAUAUUUUGGUGCAAGUGUAGACUGAAAGUGGAGUACCACUUCUAGAGUUAGACAAUUUUAACUAGUGAAUGUGUUAGUUCUAUGACCCCACAAAAAAGAAUGUGUUAGUUCUAUGAAUAUAGAUAUAUGGGGUUUGAUCUGGAAUUUUCUUCUAUAAUUUUCUAUUUCUAGUUUGCCACUGCUCCCAGUCAUCUGAUUCUGGAAUUUUAUGAUCAAUAGUUGUCUAUCAUAGUAGAAAUCCCUUCAAGUGUUGCAACCUUUAUUAUUGAAUUGAAAAACAUUUGCUUGAUAAUUUAUCUUUUCUAGAGUAAAAUGAUAGCAAUUUGGUUUUGUACUGUCAUCCCUACUGGAAAUAGCAUGGCAUCAUGACUUAUUAAAUUACAAGAUCCCCUAUUGUUAAAACUUCUUUUAUUUAGCUUAACACUUAAGAACAAAUACAUCCAUAGCUAUGUUCAUAGAGAUGGUACAUAGCUUAAGAUGUGCAUGUGGUUCAGAUUUUGGAAAAGGGUCUACUGGCAGUGCCACGUACAAGUAAUAUAACCCUAGCAGUACAGUACCUUGUCAUGCAGGGCCACGAGUAAUAUAAGACUGCUAUUUUGUUGCUGAUAAUUAGAACGUUUGGAUGCUUGUUGUUUAGGUUGUGCGUCUAGGUUUGGUAGUAGUGCUGGUGUGUGUGGCUUAGUCUCUGAUGUUUUCAGUAAUGGAAAUUGGGAACUAUGCUCCUAAGUAGAAAAAUUGGAAGAAUUAGGACAUGAGGCUAGCUGAGUACCAUGCUCUUUUCUCCUAUAUGUAAUUCUUACAAACUGUUCCCUAAUUUUCAUUUGAUGCUUUCACUGAAAUAUAUAUUUUGGAUUGUUUGUCUUGUGAGCAGCGUGCAUCUUCUUUGUCCUCUCCAAGCAGCGUCAACUACUCCAUACAAGCACAUAAGCUUAUGCUCUUAUGAUUAUAUAUUUACUUUUGGAUACAUGUUUGCUGCUAUUUCAGAACAUUGAAACUUAUUUAGCAUUUCGUUUCUUAUAUGCUUCAUGCAAAUGAAACUGCAGUAAACAUAUGAACUGAGAUUUUGCUUGCCAUCUGUAUACAUGCCCUGAAUUUGAUUAGUCUUUUUAUGCAUACAACUACUGGAAGCUUUUACAUGUCCUCGAACUGAGCUUUUACAUGCCCUGUGUAUUCUGAAGAUUAGUCUUUUGUUAUUGGGCAGUACUUGAAACAGAGUCGUUGGUCUCCUGACAUAUAACCAUUUAUGAAGAGCAUAGGUGAUGCCUUCUCUUGUAUUCCUAUGCAUAGUCCAGUACUUUUUCAUGUGUAAAAAGUGGCUGACCUGGCAUAGUGGCAUUACACUUUUUAGUAUUUUGUACACAUCAGGAACCUUGCUAUAGAUACACACUGAAAGUUGAAAAUGAUGCUAGCAGAAAUAGGUGUUCUGUCAGCUACGCAUAUGUUUUAAAACAUGAUAUGACUACUUGCUUUGGAAUACUUAUCUGAUCCUAUCUCAUGUAUAUUUUAGUUAUUUCUAGACAAAGCUUUAGGAACCAAGUUCAUUUACAACUCAAAGUCUUGUGCAUUGAGGAUAAUUGAGAUACUUGCUCAUUCUGUACUUGUCAAAACGUAUGUGUAGAUAUUCUGCUCAUUUUGGUUGAUGCUACUACUUAAUUAAGGUCUUCUUUAUGAGCUUCUACCUUGUGUAAAUAACAUGAUUAUUUGGCAGCCUGGUUUCAUAUCUUUGAAUCUUAUGUGAAUAAACUAUGUCCAAGUGUUUGCUGUUCUUUGCUUAACUAGAUAUCAAAGUAUAAACAACAAGCUCAUGUACAAGAUGGCAAUUAUGGUGGUUAUUUAGUUUAUUUCAUUGAUUCUCGACAUAUUAAUUGAUUCUAGAGUCCUAGCUUUAUGCAAGGAGAUGUAAAAGAAGCAACAAGUAAUUUCCCUUCUCCUUUCUUUUACAAUUGUCAUGAUUUUAUAUGACCUUUUUUAGUUAAAACCUGUUGUCGUUGGUCUGGAUAUUUUGAUAAUUAAAAUUUGUGAUGAAUUCUUAAAUUGAUUAGGAAGACUGGAUGUGUAAAACUUUGUUUAUGUCGCUGGGUACAGGUCUUUUAUAUCCUUCCAAUACCUUGAACUAACUAUUUUCUCUGCGGUUACAUAUAUGCACAUCUUAUGCUCAUUUGCAGGGCUUCAGCAAAGUUUGGCCGACCUUUUGGUGGCUAAUAUUUAGAAGCUAUAUUUAAUCCAAAGCUUUUCUUUAACAGAGCAAUUCAGCUGGUACGUUUGCAAGUAAAUUUAUGCCAGUACAAGUACUAGUAGCAGAGCCGAGAACAUGUUAGGACAUGACGAUUAAUGGAUUAUUCAUGGAGGUUCCUGUCAAACUUUGCUAUCAACUAUGUGCCCAUAUCCUCUGGCACGCAAAAUCCCCCCUCAAGAGGCGAGCCAUUAGUGUUUGAUGUUGGCAUCAUCGUUGGAAGAUCUUCUGCACUAUCUACACGAUGUUUCUUCUACAUGAUAGCACUUCACGUCUACAUGAUAGCACUUGAAGACUACAUGACGUUUCUUGUAUUCGCAGCUCAAACCAUUUGUGUAGCUUAGUUUGAAAAAAAGAUCUUAUUGUCUUGCAUGUAAACUCUAUUUAGUAAUGUAGCUAGAUGCUACUGAACGCAUGUACAAAUGUCAAAAUACUAAAGUGUUUGUCAUUACGUGUUUGAGAUCUGCUA